rnacentral:rRNA from 1 species
GUGAGGAAUAUUGGUCAAUGGGCGAGAGCCUGAACCAGCCAAGUCGCGUGAAGGAAGAAGGAUCUAUGGUUCGUAAACUUCUUUUGCAGGGGAAUAAAGUGCGGGACGUGUCCUGUUUUGUAUGUACCCUGAGAAUAAGGAUCGGCUAACUCCGUGCCAGCAGCCGCGGUAAUACGGAGGAUCCGAGCGUUAUCUGGAUUUAUUGGGUUUAAAGGGUGCGCAGGUGGUUUGAUAAGUCAGCGGUGAAAGUUUGCAGCUUAACUGUAAAAAUGCCGUUGAAACUGUCGGACUUGAGUGUAAAUGAGGUAGGCGGAAUGCGUGGUGUAGCGGUGAAAUGCAUAGAUAUCACGCAGAACUCCGAUUGCGAAGGCAGCUUACUAAGCUACAACUGACACUGAAGCACGAAAGCGUGGGGAUCAAACAGGAUUAGAUACCCGGGUAGUCC